UUCAGAAGUUGAUCCGGCGUCCGCUCGGCUGCUUUCGGGGUUGGAUGCUCCCGUGGACCUCGGCUUCGGGAUCACGUUCCUCUCGUGGUUAUCUUGUCCUGGGGGGGCGUACGGUGGGAUUUCAUUUGGACGGUUCUGGGCUGAAAAUGAUGUGACAGAGGAAGAGGCUUCUGCAGUGCUUUCAUCUUUGCAUUCUGUAUCCGUUGUCCUGCCCAAAUGCAUAACACACGGAAGGAAUACAGUGUCGCUUAUUCUGGGAGGGACAGUGGGGUGCACGGAUGGUCAUGGAUGUGGAAUCACUUCAUCUGAAAUGCCCCACCCAAGAGUGACAUCAUCUAUCUGGUUUCUAGGCCUUUCCUUCCUUUUCAUGUCACAAUUCAAGUUACAGUCCAUCACUGGGAAGAAUCAAGGCAGGAACCUGGAUCCAUUGGGCACAUCCAGAGUCAAGGGCAAAGAGAAAUGAAUGCGUGCAUGGUUAGUACUCCUCUGGCUCUCUCCACUCUUACACAGUCAGGGCCCCAAGGCAGGGAAUAGUGCUGCCCACUUUCAGGCUGGAUCUUCCCACAGCAAUGAAGGCAGUCAAGACAGUCCCUCACAGAUGUGUCUACAGGCAAACCUGAUGUAGACAGUCCCUUACUGAGACUCUCUUUCCAGGUGAUUCUAGGUUGCGUCAUGUUACAAUCUAACCAUCACACAGGGGGACAAGAUUUCCAUUACCUUAUCAAAUGCCCUUCCUAGAAUUAAUCUGUGCAUGUGUUUAAGAGUUCACACGGAGGCUGGAUGUGUCCUCAAUUGAUCUCCCACUUUAUUUCUUUUGUUUUUUUUAACCAUAUAUAUAUGUGCGUGCAUUAUGUACAUGCAUGUAUGGGUAUAUGUGUUCUAUGGUGUAUAUAUGAUGGUUCGAGGACAAUGCCUUCCAUCUUUCCAUGGGUUCCAGGGAUCAGGCUUGUACAAAAAGCUUUUUACUCACUGAGUCAUCUUAGCUUUUGAGACAGGGUCUCUUACUGAACCUGGAGCUCACUCAAUUAGCUAGGCUGACUAGCCAGUGAACUCCAGGGAUCUGCCUGUCUGUGCAUCUGCCUGUCCCCACUCCCCCAGAACGGGGUUAUAGAUGUAAACAACAGCAUACAGCUUUUAUGUGAGUUCUGGGGAUCCCAACAAGCACUUUGCUGACUCAGCCGUAGCACUGAGGACUAUGACCACAUGGCAGUGCAUAUUGUCUCUAGUCUCUUUUUAAUCUAAGCUUUUUCAUUACAUAGUAGUCCUCUACAUGGUGAUUUGCUCUAGAGGAGACCAAUACUAACGUAGAAUUACACAGUAGAUACUAAAGAUCUUCAGAGGCUUGAGGAAAAAACAGCAAAAUUAGAGGUGGUUGGAUUUGUUUUAGUAAGUAAAUAAAAGCUUUGUUUUGGAGAACUUUAAGAUGAAUAAUAUUGGGGCUGGAGAGGUGACUGACUCAGUGGUUAAGAGCACUGGCUGUUCUUGCAGAGAACU